rnacentral:rRNA from 1 species
UACGGAGGGUGCAAGCGUUAAUCGGAAUUACUGGGCGUAAAGCGUGCGCAGGCGGUUUGUUAAGUCCGUUGUGAAAUCCCCGAGCUCAACUUGGGAAUUGCAAUGGAUACUGGCAAGCUGGAGUAUGGUAGAGGAAGGUGGAAUUCCCGGUGUAGCAGUGAAAUGCGUAGAGAUCGGGAGGAACACCAGUGGCGAAGGCGGCCUUCUGGACCAAUACUGACGCUGAAGCACGAAAGCGUGGGGAGCAAACAGG